AUUGAACGCUGGCGGCAGGCCUAACACAUGCAAGUCGAACGAGUGGCGGACGGGUGAGUAAUGUCUGGGAAACUGCCCGAUGGAGGGGGAUAACUACUGGAAACGGUAGCUAAUACCGCAUACCCUCGGAUGUGCCCAGAUGGGAUUAGCUAGUAGGGGGGGAAACGGCUCACCUAGGCGACGAUCCCUAGCUGGUCUGAGAGGAUGACCGGCCACACUGGAACUGAGACACAGUCCAGAAUCCUACGGGAGGCAGGAGUGGGGAAUAUUGCACAAUGGGCGCAAGCGUGAAACAGCCAGGCCGCGUGUAUGAAGAAGGCCGUCGGGUUGUAAAGUACUUUCAGCGAGGAGGCGUUACUCGCAGAAGAAGCACCGGCUAACUCCGUGCCAGCAGCCGCGGUAAUAC
rnacentral:rRNA from 1 species